GCGGCGAGCGAAGCGGGAAGAGCUCAAAUUUAUAAUCUGGCACUUUCAGUGUCCGAGUUGUAAUCUCUAGAAGUGUUUUCCGCGUUGGACCGCACACAAGUCUGUUGGAAUACAGCGGCACAGUGGUGACACCCCCGUACACGGUGCGGACGCCCAGCGCUUUGUGAUACACUUUCGAAGAGUCGAGUUGUUUGGGAAUGCAGCUCAAAUUGGGUGGUAAAUUCCAUCUAAAGCUAAAUAUUGGCGAGAGACCGAUAGCGAACAAGUACCGUGAGGGAAAGAUGAAAAGCACUUUGGAAAGAGAGUUAACAGUACGUGAAAUUGUUGGAAGGGAAACGCUUGAAGUCAGACUUGCUUGCCGGAGCUUGCUUCGGUUUGCAGGCCAGCAUCAGUUUUCCGGGGUGGAUAAUGGCGGUUAGAAGGUAGCAGCUUCAGCUGUGUUAUAGCUUUCCGCUGGAUACAUCCUGGGGGACUGAGGAACGCAGCGUGCUUUUAGCGGGGGUUUCGACCUCUUCACGCUUAGGAUGCUGGUGUAAUGGCUUUAAACGACCCGUCUUG
rnacentral:rRNA from 1 species